rnacentral:lncRNA from 1 species
UCGAUCUUGUUCUAUCACUGUUUAGCUUUUCUUCCUUUCUCAAACCAGGCAGUGUCAGGUUCCAUCUGCUGCUCGUAUUAACAGCAGAUGGGCCCUUACUAUAAGAGCAUGGCAACAGCCAUGAACUGAUUGCGCAGGCGUCCAGUUGUCCUGAUCGUUCACAGAUUCUGCAUUUCCAUAAUCCUGUCAUCUGGAGACGGUUGAAAGGCUGGUUCCUCUUCUAGUUUCAGAGUUUCAGUGAAGGUAUCCCCCUUUUUUUCUCCUAUUCAAAUGACAUCACUCAUCACAUGCAAAAUGGGCAUAUAUGGCUGUAGCGGUUGGAAACAAUCAAACACACCAGGAUUCCUCGUGGAUUAGUUGAUGCUGAUGAAUUGAUUGGUUCGGUGUGUUAAGCUGGUAGCUAGAUAAUCUUGUCUGCAUUCAAUUGUUGAGCUCGUCGAAUAAAAAUUAGGGGAGCAGGCAGGCAAAAAGAUGGGCGUGCCUGCAACGAUUGCACAUCGUAACACAUAAGCCUCCACGUUUGAUAGUCAUGUUGACUUUCUAUUUAUUUCUGUAUGUGUCAACAUUAUCUUUCAAAAUUGUUUCCUUUGGCUCAUUUUUAUUAAUUUUUAAGCGACCUUUACGUCCUACUUUUUAAAAUUUGUCUUGAUCUCGCUUUUACACACUUUUUUUUUCUUUCAGAGGGCGACAGAUGAAACAGUAGGUAAAAGAAAACAGAAACGAUUGUGAUGU